GAAAGAUCUCCCAUGCUCAUGGAUUGGCAGGAUUAAUUUAGUAAAAAUGGCCAUUUUACCAAAAGCAAUCUACAGAUUCAAUGCAAUCCCCAUCAAAAUACCAAUCCAAUUCUUCAAAGAGUUAGACAGAACAAUUUGCAAAUUCAUCUGGAAUAACAAAAAACCCAGGAUAGCUAAAGCUAUCCUCAACAAUAAAAGGACUUCAGGGGGAAUCACUAUCCCUGAACUCAAGCAUUAUUACAGAGCAAUAGUGAUAAAAACUGCAUGGUAUUGGUACAGAGACAGACAGAUAGACCAAUGGAAUAGAAUUGAAGACCCAGAAAUG
rnacentral:lncRNA from 1 species